CCUACGGGUGGCAGCAGUGAGGAAUAUUGGUCAAUGGACGAGAGUCUGAACCAGCCAAGUAGCGUGAAGGAUGACUGCCCUAUGGGUUGUAAACUUCUUUUGCCGGGGAGCAAGGGCGGGGACGUGUCCCGGCCCGGAGAGUACCCGGAGAAAAAGCAUCGGCUAACUCCGUGCCAGCAGCCGCGGUAAUACGGAGGAUGCGAGCGUUAUCCGGAUUUAUUGGGUUUAAAGGGAGCGUAGAUGGGUUGUUAAGUCAGUUGUGAAAGUUUGCGGCUCAACCGUAAAAUUGCAAUUGAUACUGGCAGCCUUGAGUACAGUUGAGGUAGGCGGAAUUCGUGGUGUAGCGGUGAAAUGCUUAGAUAUCACGAAGAACUCCGAUUGCGAAGGCAGCCUACUAAACUGCCACUGACAUUGAUGCUCGAAAGUGUGGGUAUCAAACAGGAUUAGAUACCCCUGUAGUC
rnacentral:rRNA from 1 species